rnacentral:lncRNA from 1 species
UCCGAUCAACCUUACAAGAAGAACACAAGAGCUUCAAAGAAUCCGAUCACUUCAAGAAUCCAUGACUUCAAUAAUCCAUGACUUAGCUUCUAUCAAAGAACACAAACGAGUUGACCUUUUUAAUCUGAUCGACCGCAGCGUGGCUGUACAUGGAGCUCAAUCACCGUUGGUUACAAUCCGAUCAACCUUACAAGAAGAACACAAGAGCUUCAAAUAUUCCGAUCACUUCAAGAAUCCAUGACUUUCAAGAAUCCAUGUCUUAGCUUCUAUCAAAGAACACAAACGAGUUGACCUUUUAAUCUGAUCGACCGUGGCGUGGCUGUACACGGAGCUCAAUCACCGUUGGUUACAAUCCGAUCAACCUUACAAGAAGAACACAAGAGCUUUAAAGAAUCCGAUCACUUCAAGAAUCCAUGACUUCAAGAAUCCAUGACUUAGCUUCUAUCAAAGAACACAAGCGAGUUGGCCUUUUUAAUCUGAUCGACCGCGGUGUGGCUGUACAUGGAGCUCAAUCACUGUUGGUUACAAUCCGAUCAACCUUACAAGAAGAACACAAGAGCUUCAAAGAAUCCGAUCACUUCAAGAAUCCAUGACUUCAAGAAUCCAUGACUUAGCUUCUAUCAAAGAACACAAACGAGUUGACCUUUUUAAUCUGAUCGACC